rnacentral:misc_RNA from 1 species
UCGUAAAGGUGCAUGAGUGGUGUUUGGUUUGUCACGUGUGGUUGGCUGCGGCGUUUGCAACAACUUCCAUGCUUUCAGACCUCUUCAGUUGUGCGGCAAGGCUUGUAUCGCCUUGUCGUAUUGUGGGUUUUCUGUGUUGUAUACCUAAUCAAUGGUAUCGGUYGGAUUGAUCAAUGUUUCAUUUCGUCUGUCGUCGCAUUYGCGGCGUGAGACGAACCUCGAUGCGGUCUCUUUGGCCCACCUCGUCGAAGCACAUGCUUUGACGUUGUGGCACAUUGAGCAUUGCUUGGUCUCUUGUAUACGGAACAUAUAGUGGGCAUGGAUCUAACGAUUCUUGUUUGCCCUCAUGUUAGCGUAACGCUUCUCUUACACGACUUGCUCCACGUUUUAGCUCGUACGGACGUGGUGCUAUGUCGAAGAGGAAUGCUACCUGGUUGAUCCUGCCAGUAGUCAUAUGCUUGUCUCAAAGAUUAAGCCAUGCAUGUGUAAGUA